AAGCUUCUAAUCCUAAUGUCUAUAUUUUAAGAUUAGAUCUCAAAUCAGGUAGGACUACCCGCUGAACUUAAGCAUAUCAAUAAGCGGAGGAAAAGAAACUAACAAGGAUUCCCCUAGUAGCGGCGAGCGAAGCGGGAAGAGCUCAAAUUUAUAAUCUGGCACCUUCGGUGUCCGAGUUGUAAUCUCUAGAAGUGUUUUCCGCGUUGGACCGCGCAUAAGUCUGUUGGAAUACAGCGGCACAGUGGUGAGACCCCCGUAUGUGGUGCGGACGCCCAGCGCUUUGUGAUACACUUUCGAAGAGUCGAGUUGUUUGGGAAUGCAGCUCAAAUUGGGUGGUAAAUUCCAUCUAAAGCUAAAUAUUGGCGAGAGACCGAUAGCGAACAAGUACCGUGAGGGAAAGAUGAAAAGCACUUUGGAAAGAGAGUUAACAGUACGUGAAAUUGUUGGAAGGGAAACGCUUGAAGUCAGACUUGCUUGCCGGGCAACCGGUUUGCAGGCCAGCAUCAGUUUUCCGGGGUGGAUAAUGGUAGAGAGAAGGUAGCAGUUUCGGCUGUGUUAUAGCUCUCUACUGGAUACACCUUGGGGGACUGAGGAACGCAGUGUGCCUUACGGCGGAGGUUUCGACCUCUUCACACUUAGGAUGCUGGUGGAAUGGCUUUA
rnacentral:rRNA from 1 species